rnacentral:lncRNA from 1 species
GAAAGCACUGUCCACAAGCUGCUCAUAAUGCAAUAACAACAAAAAGCUCAUUUGUGGCUGAUCUGGAAAAGGUACACUUGAGGAAGAAGGAGAAGACGAAGCCGCUAAACAACUGAAGAUAUGAAGCUAAAGGGCUUUUGAAGACAAGCGAGUGUGUUGUGUUCUAGAACACCUAAAGCGAGACCGAUUUAAGACAAAGCCCGCAGCAAAGUCGAGUCCGAGUCAAGACCGGAGGGGGACGAGAGGCCGAGGUCAAGACCGGAGGGGGACGAGAGGUCAAGGUCAAGCCCGAGCCCAGAAAAAUGCGAGUCCAAUCGAAGACCAUGACUGUAAUUUUGUCUAAUCGUCACCAUAAUAAUAGUAAACAAAUAUAGACAUUCAGAAUGGU